rnacentral:misc_RNA from 1 species
AAAAAAAUAGUGCAUCUUCUCAAAAUGAAAGGGGCUUUAAAGCUGCUCCAAAUCUCACAAUCAUCAUACACGUUGAAGGGAAUGAAAAGUUGAAGCAAUAAAUCAAGUCCUAACAUGUGUACAUUAAUCAGUUCAGAAAAGCUGUCAUAGAAUCUUUUCUCACCACACAAAUGACAGAACAUGCCUACUGUACCCACAUACUCAUGCAAGGUCCAACCCUUGCUAACUCCACUAAUACACAUCUCCCAUCCUGUCUCGUCCCAUACCACGUCGAUCAUCUCGUCCAUAGUCUUUUGCUGGUGGGCCACCCCUAAUUGGAGAUCUGCUCCUCUCUCUCACAUCCCGCCCCCAUCGACCACGUUGAUGAGGAAGUGGUAGUGGUGGUGGUGGUGGCGGUGGCGGCAGAGGGGGAGAAGG